UCGAGAAUCAUUCACAAUGGGGGAAACCCUGAUGGUGCGACGCCGCGUGGGGGAAUGAAGGUCUUCGGAUUGUAAACCCCUGUCAUGUGGGAGCAAAUUAAAAAGAUAGUACCACAAGAGGAAGAGACGGCUAACUCUGUGCCAGCAGCCGCGGUAAUACAGAGGUCUCAAGCGUUGUUCGGAAUCACUGGGCGUAAAGCGUGCGUAGGCUGUUUCGUAAGUCGUGUGUGAAAGGCGCGGGCUCAACCCGCGGACGGCACAUGAUACUGCGAGACUAGAGUAA
rnacentral:rRNA from 1 species